GUAGGUGAACCUGCGGAAGGAUCAUUAUUGAAUGAACUUGGCGUUGGUUGUUGCUGAUCCUCUCGGGGGUAUGUGCACACCCGUCAUCUUUAUCUCUCCACCUGUGCACCUCUUGUAGACCUAGAUAACUUUCCGAGGCAACUCGGUCGGGAGAAAUGCUGUAACAAGCUUUUCUUAAAUUUCUAGGGCUAUGUUUUUCAUAUACCCCAUAGUAUGUAACAGAAUGUAUCACUAGGCUUUGUGCCUAUAA
rnacentral:misc_RNA from 1 species